rnacentral:SRP_RNA from 1 species
AGGCAUGAUAGUACACACUUGUAAUCCUAGCUGAGCGGAUUGAGGCUAGCAGAUCUCUUGAGCUCAGGAUUUCUGAAUUUCAGUGGGCUAUGCCAAUUGAGUAUCCAUACUAAGUUUUGGCAUCAAUUUGAUGAGCUCCUGGGAGCUGGGGGCCACCAGGUUGCUUGAAGGAGGGGUGAACUGAUUUGGUAGGGUCAGAGCUCCUGUGCCAAUCAGUAGUGGGAUUGGGUCCAUGAGUAGCACCCUCUAUUUCCAGUCUAGGCAGAUGAGGGGACUCUUUUUUUA